GUCUUUUUGGUUAUUUAAUAUAAAGUCUGACCUGCCCACUGAAUUUAUUUUGAAGGGCCGCAGUAUUUUGACUGUGCAAAGGUAGCAUAAUCAUUAGUCUUUUAAUUGAAGGCUGGUAUGAAUGGUUGGAUGAGGUACAAGCUGUGUCAUAAAAAUUAGUUUUUGAAUUUACCUUUUUAGUCAAAAGGCUAAAAUAGCAUUAAAAGACGAGAAGACCCUAUAGAGCUUUAUAUAAUUUUUAUUUAAAUUAUUAAGAUUUCUUAAAUUUAAUUAUUUCAUUAUAUUUUGUUGGGGUGACAAUAAAAUUUAUAAAACUUUUAUUUUUAUUUACCAUUAAUAUAUGUUUAUAUGAUCCAGUUUUAUUGAUUAUAAAUUUAAGUUACCUUAGGGAUAACAGCGUAAUUUUUUUUGAGAGUUCUUAUCGACAAAAAAGAUUGCGACCUCGAUGUUGGAUUAAGAGUAAUUUUGGGUGUAGAAGUUCAAAGUUUAAGUCUGUUCGACUUUUAAAUUCUUACAU
rnacentral:rRNA from 1 species